UGGGGAAUUUUGGACAAUGGGGGAAACCCUGAUCCAGCCAUCCCGCGUGUGCGAUGAAGGCCUUCGGGUUGUAAAGCACUUUUGGCAGGAAAGAAACGUCAUGGGUUAAUACCCCGUGAAACUGACGGUACCUGCAGAAUAAGCACAGGCUAACUACGUGCCAGCAGCCGCGGUAAUACGUAGGGUGCAAGCGUUAAUCGGAAUUACUGGGCGUAAAGCGUGCGCAGGCGGUUCGGAAAGAAAGAUGUGAAAUCCCAGAGCUCAACUUUGGAACUGCAUUUUUAACUACCGGGCUAGAGUGUGUCAGAGGGAGGUGGAAUUCCGCGUGUAGCAGUGAAAGGCGUAGAUAUGCGGAGGAACACCGAUGGCGAAGGCAGCCUCCUGGGAUAACACUGACGCUCAGGCACGAAAGCGUGGGGAGCAAACAGG
rnacentral:rRNA from 1 species